rnacentral:lncRNA from 1 species
CCUCGAUAUGCAGUGAUAGAAGAUACAGUCCAGAUCAUAUACACGCACAAGGCGAAAGGACUGCAAGAUGAUGCGGAAGAUAUUGGAAUUGACGAGAUCUCAACAAAUAACCGUCUUAAGGCCAUGAACGCAUUCAAUACUACUCUUGUGGAAUAUUUGAAACUCUCAUUACUCCAUAUUGGAAAGAAGAGAGGAUCACCAGAGAUGUUUACAAGAUGAUAGUAAAGAAAUCGGCCAAUAGGGUUAUAGGAAGGUUUGGUCUGAAGAGUUUCCCUACGGAAAGGGAAAAUGACCUAUAUAUGAAAUCUUCACAUUCUAAG